UGUUUGAAGAUUGUUAUGAAUUGUUUUACAAAUUGUAUGGUUUGGAAAUGAACUCAUCAAAAAUAGUUUAUGCACUUGUCAUUCUGUAGUUGGUUUGAUCUUGUUAAAAAAACGGUUAAUUUCUCUGUUGGCCCUUUACUUGGAGUAUGAGUUCAUUGAAAUAGGAUGUUGAUUAAUUUAUGCAGCAUUUAUAGUUACAUCAUUUAUAGUUUAUGCAUCAUUUAUAGUUACAUUUCUAAUGGUUUAUGAGUUCUCUUAUCUGUUGACUUAUUAAAGUUUCCCUCAUCAGAUGGGCAAUCCUUGGGAAAUUGAAGACAUGAUGUCUCUUGAUAGAAUUUCAUUAAAGUUCACUAAAAAAGGUUGAAAAGAUUUUCUAUGUUUUAUACCCUAGAGAUGAGUCAAGUGAGGGCAAGACUCUAAGGUUGAAGCAACAGUAUACACUUUGCUCUGCUUCUCUCCAAGAUAUUAUUGCACGACUUGAGAUGAGAUCUGGUGAACCAGUGAACUGGGAUGCCUUUCCCAACAAGGUUGCAGUACAAAUGAAUGAUACUCACCCAACACUCUGCAUCCCGGAGCUGAAAUCUCAUAUUGAUGGAUGUGAAAGGUUUGAGCUGGAAGGAAGCUUGGGAGAUAACUAAAAGUUGUGGCCUGAGAAAUUUCAAAAUAAAACAAAUGGAGUGACACCAAGAAGGUGGAUUCGUUUUUGCAAUCCACAUCUAAGUAAAAUCAUAACCAAGUGGACGGGAACAGAAGACUGGUUGAUAAACACUGAGAAGUUGGUAGAUCUUCGAAAGUUUGUUGAUAAUGAGGAGCUUCAAUCAGAAUGGAGGGAAGCAAAAAGGAGCAACAAGAUGAAGGUUGUGUCCUU